rnacentral:rRNA from 1 species
AACGAACGUUGGCGGCGUGGCUAAGACAUGCAAGUCGAACGAACUAUUCAAUUGGGUAACCUUGCGAAUAGUUAGUGGCGAAAGGGUGAGGAAUAGAUAGGUAACGUACCUCGAGCCCCGGAAUAGCCAUCCGAAAGGAUGGGUAAUGCCGGAUGAUGUAGUUCCGUGAUGCGGAAUUACCAAAGAUUUAUCAGCUUGAGAGCGGCCUUUCUCCUAUCAGCUAGUUGGUGAGGUAACGGCCCACCAAGGCUACGACGGGUACCGGGACUGAGAGGUUGACCCGGCACAUCGGAACUGAGACACUGUCCGGACCUCCACGGAGGGCUGCAGUAACGAAUAUUGGGCAAUGGGCGAAAGCCUGACCCAGCGACGCCGCGUGUGGGAUGAAGUCCUUCGGGAUGUAAACCACUGUCAGGGGGACAAAAGUGCGCGCAAGUGCAUUGAUUUAUCCCUGAGGAAGUCACGGCUAACUUCGUGCCAGCAGCCGCGGUAAUACGAAG